rnacentral:lncRNA from 1 species
UUGGUAGGUUGAAAAUGAUUUAGUGACUUGGUAGGUUGAAAAUAAUUAAGUGUAGGGACUUUAAGGGUGACGCGGUAGGUUGAAAGUGGUUAAGAGUAGGAAGUUUGAAGGGGAUUUUGUGUUUUGAAUGUGACUUGUUUGACGACUUAGUAACUUGAAAAUGGUUAAGUGUAGGGACUUUGAAGGGGAUUUUUUUUGUUUUGAAUGUGGUUUGUUAGGUCACUUACUUGCUCGAAAAUGGUUAAGUCUAGGGACUUUGAAGGGUAUUUUUUUGUUUUGAAUUUGUUUUUGUUUUGAUACU